CCAGUGAGAGUCCUGAUGGAAAAGCUUGGGCUUUCUGAGUGAAGACUUCGACGGAAGGAAAGAUGUAACUACAGUUGAGCUUUCACCCAGAUGGGAAUUUUAGAGGACAGAGACUAUCAUGCUGGGAACCAAAUCAGAAAAGAAAUGAUUGCAUCCUAGGAUAAGCUCCAAGACCAGGAGGAAAUCAAAGCCGGGCCUGAGGCCUGGGGGCCUCUGUCAAUCGGCAGAAGCCUCUGAAGCUGUCAGCCUCCAACCGCAGAGCCUGACAUGUGUGCCCAUCUUCCCACUGCUGCUCACAAGUUACUGUGCCUUAGUCUCCAUCCCUCAGACCUUCAGCCUUUGCUGUGAGCAUCCUAGAAACAGCAGCCUUCCUCAGUCUGAUGAACCUGGGAGUGGGACCCCCAGGGGCCACAUCAAGGUGCAGAGCUGCAUUGCUGAAUGUCAGCUGGGAGAGGCUUUGGUCCAGAAUCCGAGGGAAGAUGGUGACACUACUUAUCCAGCCUGGAUCACUUCACCCUCAUCAGUUACAGAUGAACCUCAGACUGGUACCCUAGGAAUCGGCACCCACCGCUCCCUGCAGAAACCAGUGGCCAGCAUCGUGAACGCAGUCAAGGGCACCACCCACUGAGGACAUUCAGUCGCCCUUCCAUGUUCUGCUGUGUGGUGAAGAAACCCGAGACGCUCACCAGAAGCCAAGCAGAACCACUGCCAUGCUACUGGCUGGCCAGUCAUCACAUCCAGCGACCAAAAUGAGCCUCCAAUCAGCAUGGAAAUUAUUCGGUCUCAGGGACUCUGUUACAGAAACAGAAAACAGACCAGUAUAAUUGUUUAAAACAAGAGGCAAUUACACUGCGUCUUGUUUGAUUUUGUUUUAUUCUAGGUGUGAAUCACUUGCAUAAAUAGGUGUGUCCUUAAAUGGCCAGAUCAUGAAGCCAGAAAACCUAAUUUGAACCCAAGGAUGGAUGUUCAUAAGACAUUUCUCUAUUUUUGAAAGCGUCCCAAGUUAGUCUUAUGAGUAAUCAAAUGAAACCUAUCUUCCAAU